rnacentral:rRNA from 1 species
AGACCUGCCCGGUGAAUAUUUAUUUAAACGGCCGCGGUAUUUUGACCGUGCAAAGGUAGCAUAAUCAAUUGUCUUAUAAUUGAAGACUGGAAUGAAUGGUUAAACGAAAUUAGAGCUGUUUCAUUUGUAUUUACUAGAAAUUGACUUUUAAAUGAAGAGAUUUAAAUUUGAUUAAGGGACAAGAAGACCCUAUUGAGCUUUAAAUAAUUUUAAGGGUUAAAGUUAUUAUAAAGAUUUAUGAUCUUUAGUAUUUUUUAGUUGGGGCGACUAAGGAACAAGUGAAGCUUCCUUUAUUUAUUUAAUUGAUAGAUUUUGAUCCUGUAUUACUGAUUAAGAGAAAUAGUUACCAUAGGGAUAACAGCAUAAUCUUCUUGGAGAGUUCUUAUUAAAAAGGGGGGUUGUGACCUCGAUGUUGGACUAAAAUAUCCUAAGGGUGUAGAAGCUUUUAAGGGUUGGUCUGUUCG